rnacentral:rRNA from 1 species
UACAGAGGGUGCAAGCGUUUAAUCGGAAUUACUGGGCGUAAAGCGUGCGCAGUCGGUUAUUUAAGUCGGGCGUGAAAGCCCCGGGCUCAACCUGGGAAUUGCGUUCGAUACUGGAUAGCUAGAGUUCGGGAGAGGGAUGCGGAAUUCCAGGUGGUAGCGGUGAAAUGCGUAGAUAUCAGGAGGAACACCGAUGGCGAAGGCAGGUCUCUGGGCCACUACUGACGUGAGAAGCGAAAGCAUGGGGAGCGAACAGG